UACGAAAGGAGCGAGUGUUAUUCAGAUUAACUGGGCGUAAAGGGCACGUAGGUGGUUUGUUAUGUGUAUUGUUAAAUGUUAAAGCUUAACUUUAAUUUGCAAUCUACACAGCUAAGCUAGAGUUAGGUAGGGGGUAGUAGAAUUUCUAGUGUAAAGGUGAAAUUUGAUAAAAUUAGAGAGAAUACCAGCGGCGUAAGCGACUACCUGGGCCUUAACUGACACUGAGGUGCGAAGGUAUGGGUAGCAAAUAGG
rnacentral:rRNA from 1 species